GACGAACGCUGGCGGCGCGCCUAACACAUGCAAGUCGAACGAGAGAGAGGAAGCUUGCUUCCUUAAUCGAGUGGCGAACGGGUGAGUAACGCGUGAGGAACCUGCCUCAAAGAGGGGGACAACAGUUGGAAACGACUGCUAAUACCGCAUAAGACCACAGCACCGCAUGGUGCAGGGGCAAAAACUCCGGUGGUAUGAGAUGGACCCGCGUCUGAUUAGGUAGUUGGUGGGGUAACGGCCUACCAAGCCGACGAUCAGUAGCCGACCUGAGAGGGUGACCGGCCACAUUGGGACUGAGACACGGCCCAA
rnacentral:rRNA from 1 species